GCAAGUCGAGCGCUCUCUUCGGAGGGAGCGGCGGACGGGUUAGUAACGCGUGGGAAUGUACCCUUCUCUAUGGAAUAGCCAUUGGAAACGAUGAGUAAUACCUUAUACGCCCUUCGGGGGAAAGAUUUAUCGGAAUUGGAUUAGCCCGCGUUAGAUUAGAUAGUUGGUGGGGUAAUGGCCUACCAAGCCUACGAUCCAUAGCUGGUUUGAGAGGAUGAUC
rnacentral:rRNA from 1 species